GUGCUGACUUCGGCAGCAGGUAUGCUAAAAUUAGAAUGGCACAGAGGAGGUUAGCAUGGCCCCGUGUGCAAGGAAGAUCACACAUUCAUGCAGCAUUCCAUAUUUUU
ensembl:snRNA U6 U6 spliceosomal RNA